rnacentral:lncRNA from 1 species
CUAAAAGCUUAUUUUUAUUUGCAUUUAUAGAUCUUAAGCUCGUUUCUGCACUGUUUUACUGAAAAACCCAUUAAAAGAGUCAGUGAAUCUUGUAGAAAAUGGCGUUCAGCGAUCUUACAUCGAGGACUGUGCGUUUUUAUGAUAAUUGGAUCAAAGAUGCUGAUCCAAGAGUUGAAAACUGGCUCCUCAUGUCCUCGCCUCUGCCACAAACCAUCAUCCUGGGGCUCUACGUCUAUUUUGUUACAUCUCUGGGACCAAAGCUCAUGGAGAACCGGAAGCCCUUUGAACUCAAGAAAGCGAUGAUAACGUACAAUUUUUUCAUAGUACUGUUUUCUGUGUAUAUGUGCUAUGAGGCAAGUGUCUUCGGUAUUCCUAACGGGAAAAGUUCGCCUUGGUCCAUUGUUAUGUGUUUGUACGUUUUUGUUAUGACUGUUGAGUUCCCCUGUUUUGAGAAGGGAGGAAUUCAGAGACUAAGCAGUUGUUUACCACAACAAAACAAAAGCACCAAACUCAUCAUGUCUAGAUGAAAUAAACUGAGGAUCUCAGGACAGUUUCCAUUGUGACAGAGAGGGAAAAGAAAAACAACAUUUAGCUCAGAGAUUCGCACAUGGUAAACAUUGGUUUUGAGGGAACACAUACUCAGAGAAAAGAAUUAAUGAACUCGGAGUGACCGUGGAUAAGCAGUGGCUGGUCCUGGAAUGCGUACAACCCCAGAGCUAGGUGCUGACGUGGCUGUUUAGUUUUAUAGACUUGGAGGCCAGAAAGGGCAUACAUUUAUUCCAAGUCUUAAGUAGUAAAGCCCUGCCCCUUUUUUAUAAGACAAAUAGGAACCUUCCAGACCGCAGUGGAGAUUGUACAUUUACUCUCUGCCCCUCUGUUCGUCACAUGUCUCCACUGCCUUGAAUACCUAGGUCUCUAGGGUUCUUGGCUGUAUUUCCAACCUUGGCUGGCUUCCUCUUUUCUGUUGGCUUUCUCUAUAGCAUACCUUGUGCUUGCUCAUAUUAGGAAUCUGUGAGGAGGCCUGGUGGCCUACCUGGCUGCCAUGAUACCCACCUCCUUCCUGCUACAGACUAUAUAACUCUAGCUUCCCUCUGCUGCUGGUCACUUCUUUGUUUCUUGCACUAACCCACAGGUCACUGCUUUUUGUCCUUUCUAGAUUAUGGAUAGUUCCUUGCAUGUUCAGAGAGGAGAGGAGAGGAGAGGGAGAGAAGUUUACCCUCAAUGUGAAUGUUUAU